rnacentral:lncRNA from 1 species
GUACCUUUCUACUUUUGUAAGACUUUCCUUUUAUUAAUAUAUUAUUCUUACUUUACUUUACUGAGUUCUUACUUAGUGCAAGUCUUUUAGUCUUGUUGUGCAUUUACUUUAGUAAUAUAGUUGUCUUAGUGAAGUUAGUGACCUGUAACCACUCCUGUGUGUGCAUCAUCGUCCUAUCUUGUAUAGGAGCUCUAGCUAGCUGCAACUAGUUAGAGUUGUAGGAUUAAGUGUGAGCGUGGUGCUCAUACUUACGAUUACCUUUGAUUACCACUGGCUUGAACGGAAAGUAGGAGCGCACUCCCUAGUAGGUGACAGAUCGUGGGCGGCAUUAGGUUCUCCUCACGUACAGGCUAGUUCUUAAAAGGUAAGGCGUCCAUAAGCCCAAUAGUCGCUUUCGGUAAGGGGUUAGGUGAAAAACCUUCUAAGCGUCUUACCAGCUCGGCUAUCCCUGGCACACAGUUAGUAAGGCUCUAGCGUAGUUAAGACAAUUAUCUAUUAAAGUAAGUCACAGAAGUCAAGUUAGAUACAUAGGAGUCCUUUACUCACUCAUUGUCCUCCCACCUAGCUAACUCUACCAUUUACCUUUAGCAUAGGACCUUGGAUUCACCACUACCCUUCCUAUUCGUUAUUUACCACCCUUAUUCACUAGUUGAUACUAGAUAACUCAAGGAAUCUCAUUCCCCUUUUUGUUAAACACACUUAGCCGCUUACCCUUGGGAAAAUAUAAAUUACGAUACCUUGGAAUACUCCUUGGUGAAGUGCUACAGCGGUACAUUCUGUGCGCUUGCGGAAUUAUCCAAUAGUAAAUAGAGUUACCCUACCAGGGCACUUCUGGCGCCGUCGCCGAUAUCCGGUGGUUGCGUUAAGAAGUGUCAACAAUAUCGACCUCGGAAGUCCUGAGAUAAACUCACAUUGGAGAUAAAGAGAGACACACAUCAAGUUUAACAAUUUACACAAGGAAGACGUAGCUCAUAAGAGAUGAUCCAUGGAGGGUGCCACAAACAUGAUGCACAACCGCUAAGAAGGGAAAGCUUCCACAAGGUGAUACUGUACCAUCACUCUUCAAGUAAGUUAACAUCUUAAGGUACUUGACUAUCACUUUUAUAAGCUUCUCCUUGGUUCUGGCGUUCAUAUGAAUAAAAGAGAUAAACAUGUAUGAUUUACAACUCUAGGUUAUCCAACCCAAUCGAUUCAACAUGUUUAGUCCUUCCACCUUUGUGAUCCCACACUCCUAAUCAUAUGAGCUAAAAUGUUGCAAACUCAAUCUUUGGAAGAUAUAUAUAAAAAAACAUAAAUAUAGAUAGAUUAUAUUUCCAUUAGGUUGAACGAUCUGAUGUGACAAAUGUUUUUAAUACUACACUCAUGAUCUUAUUAUCCAUCAAAUUUGUCUUGCCCCUAUGCUUAAGGAUAGAGAAGAUAUACUAUUGGUUCUGUUGGUGUUUUCCACCAAUAGGACUCAUGCACUUGAUCUCUGCCUUGUCUCUAUGAGCAGGACAUAUUUUGAGAAACAUGGAGGAUUUUUCAACUCCUAGACUCUACCAAGUGAAGGACGUGGAUCUACGAGCACAAACACACUGAGCAGGAUGCUGCCAACGCCGCACUUCGAACUGCUGGGCAAACGAAGAAUAUGGGUGACACCGUAUCAACAGGUGCAGACAUCAAGGUUCACACCUAAGUCAAAUGACGCACCUAAAGAAUGAACACGGUGAGAAGUCUUGUUCAGAAGACUUAAAACAUUGAACCCUCGCCGAAAGGUAAAAUCGGUAGUUAUCCAUAUUUAUCCUUUCUGCAUUCCCUUUUCCCUUAAAUAAUUUACUUUCCUUAAAUAGCUUGUUAGUUAAUCAUGCUAUCUUGAAAAAUAGUAAGCCCCAUGUGAGUAUGCUCGUGGCAUAAAAUCCAUAAGUACAUUCACUGUGGUGGCGUAAAAAUAAAAUAAAUAUAUUCCUGUCCUAUAAAAAUGAAAAUAUAAAAAUAAGAUUGUGAUCCCACUAAAGAGGAUAAUAUUUAUUGUGGAGGCUCAACAUGAUAAAGGCUAUAUAUUUAUGCUAACUCUUAACUAGUUCCACAAAGCUUUGUUGUCUAUUUGAGCUCCACAGAAUUCAAGGAUCAAGAAAACGAGCAGACGGAGGACAUCCUAAUUGUUGUCAGGGUGCUGCCGACAUUCAAAUACACCUCCACUACCUCCUAGCUCCAUGAGAAGAAAUUACAUCAAAAUCCAGCUUGGGGGAGAGCACCCCCAAUUAUCCAGCUAAGUGUUUCUACUCGCAUUUAUACUUUACUCAAAUAAUAAAAAGAUGUAUAAUCAUAAAAAACCCAAAUAAAGAUUUUUAUGCUUAUAUAUAUCUUUGCUUAGUUUGCUAAAUAAAUAAAGUUUGCCAUGAAACCUCAUGAUAAGCUCUUACAUGGAAAUGAUGAAUAGUUACUCUGCCAUGACUAGUCCUCAAAAUUAAAUUCUCUCUCAAGUUUAGGCAUGACUGUUAUGAAUUAAGUUUUGCUCUAAAUCUGAACUUGUGGGUGGACUACUUGAUCUAAAGUCUAAGUCGUUAACGGAUAUGAUAUGGGAAGGUUGAGCUCCUAUUUAUUUGUUCCUAGAGAUGCUAGAAUUCUAGAGAAUUUUAUCUUUGAAAAUCUUUAAAAUGUUGCAUGAUGAGUUCCUGUAUGAUGAGAGUUUAAAAUCCUACCACAGCCAUAUAUACAUGCUUAUUAAACUAUGAACCAUACAUUUACUUUUUACUGCUUAUGAGCAUUGAGUGUGGUCAAGCUGUGUGGACCCUUAGGAGCUUGUCAUGCGAUUAAAAUAAAGAUUCACUUGCAUGUUCACUCAUACAUGCUGCUUCUACUCCGGAAGUACGCAUCCACAUAUAUCCACUCAUUUCCAUUUUCAGAUUCACCUAAAAUUAUUCUACUCCUAUCCGGGAGAGAAUAGCCAAAAACAUUAUCCUAUACUUGUUAUUCCCUGUGAAAUAAAUGCUUGAGAUAUUUUGGUUACUACCACUUGCUAUAUUAUUCCAGGAGGGUGAGUGCUCUAAAAAAGAAAAAAAAGAAGGGAAAACAUACGAGGAAAUAAAAAGGGGCAAGUGCCCGGAACCUCGAAGAAAAGAAAAAGUGAGACGAGAGGUAAAAAUGGACAAGUGUCCGACAGUAGAAUUAGGGGUACAAGAUACCCACCUGAGAGAAAAGAAAAAGAAAACAUAGAGCAUCUCAUUCUCCUCAAAAAGCUUCAAAGUGCAAGAAAGGUAUGUAUCCCCUCAAAAGAGCAAAAGUAGAAUUAGACUUUUACCAUUGUUUUCACCAUCAUCACCAUACACCAUUCAUUCGCCACACAUGCACAUCUUGAUAUUGACUUAUUGACUUGUUUCUCUAGAUCCAUGGUUUGACUAUGCAAUGAAUGUCUUGUAAGUAUGUAUGCUUCACCUCCCACCUAUGAGCUCCAGAUAUCAAAACCUUAUUAGAGUAGGGUGAGAGAGAAGGCAAUGUCACUAUGCCUCAUACCAAAAAUACCACAUACUUUGAGAGAAGGCAACACCAUCACUGCCUUGGUAAGGAUAAAGAAAUACAACAAAAGAGAGAUUUGAGAGAGUCAUACAAGGAAUCUCUGAGUUUUAUUUUGAAAAUCCGCAAAAACUCCAGAGCUAUAGUUGAUCAAAGAACAAGAGACAUGGCGCUUGACUUGACCGUUCUAUCUUUUAACUGCUCAAGACACAAGUGACGGUUACAAGCCCCAUGGUGAAAUGUAAAAUGAGUGAGUUUAAAUCUUAAUAGUUUACCCUAACCCAGAGAUGAGAUGUUGUUUGAACACAUGUGAACCUUUAAGGCAUGAAACCACUAUAGAAACUCUUGAGUCCAUCCUUGCUCAGAGACGAGCAAGAGGUAAGCUUGGGGGACUUGUUGACGGUCCUUAAGUACCAAAUUUAAUUAUCAAAUAAACAAAUAAAAGGAUCCAAAUGUAACCAACACUCAGACUUAGGGUUUUAUCUGACAGAUGUCCAUGAGUUUUGGUGUUUGUCUAUUUCUACAGGGGGUUAUCAGGAAAUAUGGAGGAAAGGCCCACAUGUCGGGUUUACAUAGAGAUAUUAAUGUGCUGUGCAAUUUAGUAUCAUCUAGAAGACUCCAGAAGCCACGGGAACGAACGGGAAGCUGAGCGGGCUCGGGGACAGGGCGCCCGCCCUACUCCUUAGGGCGCCCGCCCUACUUUUUCCACCAAUCACACUCUACUUCGCGGAUUAUGCUCCACCAACCUAAAGAAUCAAGGAGAACAGUUCAAUCAAUGUCGGUUUGAUCCGACGGCCUACGUUCACUUGAGGGGACUAUAUAAGCAGGACCCCUGGCCCCUCGAGGAAAAACCCCUUGAUCCCUAUUCAUUAUUCAUAAACAGAGCAAAAGCUAGUGUUUGGAGAUGAGAGCUCUCCUCUCUUCUCUAAAUUAGAGUAGAUCCAGAUAGUAGCGAGAUGGAGAGCG